UCCGGUUUGGCACCGGCAGUCUUCCUAGAGUCCCCGACUUCACUCGCUGGCAACUAGGAACGGGGGUUGCGCUCGUUGCGCCACUUAAGGCAACACCUCACGGCACGAGCUGACGACAGCCGUGCAGCACCUGUGCGGGCCCCCGAAAGGGCACCGUGUUUCCACGGUUUCACCCCGCAUGUCAAGCCCUGGUAAGGUUCUUCGCGUCGCGUCGAAUUAAGCCACAUGCUCCGCCGCUUGUGCGGGCCCCCGUCAAUUCCUUUGAGUUUUAGCCUUGCGGCCGUACUCCCCAGGCGGGGUGCUUAAUGCGUUAGCGUCGGCACAGAGCGAGUCAAUCGCCGCCCCACACCUAGCACCCAUCGUUUACGGCUAGGACUAC
rnacentral:misc_RNA from 1 species